rnacentral:lncRNA from 1 species
CUGGGAUUACAGGCGUGAGCCACCGCACCUGGCCAAAACCUUUAUUUUCUCAAUGAAGCAGACAUUCACUCCACAGACCUUAUGUACUAUAUGCAGAACACUCAAUAAAUGCCUCUUGGCCCAGCUGAGGCUCAGUAGCUGAUCAUUCACUAAGAAGGCAGAGGGCUCUGCUGAUGCAAAAGGGAUACCGGGUUCAGGAUUUCAACUGGGGGAAGUUUCCAUUGAGCCUUCUAAGUGCAGGGAGCCUCCUGACCUCAAGUGAUCCGCAGAUCUCGGCGCCCCCAUAGAGUGUUGAAGCAUCCCGGGCCACCAUCUGUGGCCCAAAAGGUUUUUUAAGGGGCAAGAAUCCUUUUCUUGGCUUCUGCAGUCAGUCUCCUUGCCAGUGACAACAUCAGGGCAGCAGUGGAAAAAGACACGCUUUCAGUUGCUGGAUAAAGUGUCUUCACCGUCUUGGCAAGAAUCCCUUCACUGCCUGAGGGACCUGUCCUAGGUGCCAGAGUGAGCAGGGAGGAACACAGGUGUGUCUCGGUGGCUGGAGAACCCAGCCAGGACGACGCCCAGUUUGGAACUGUACCGAAGCUGAGCCCUGCCUUGCACGGCUGAAGCUUAGCCACAGAGGCGGAACUUCCCUGGCUUUUCCUGGAAGCGGAAGCCGUGAAAUGGCCAAAGCACAAGACAGGGUGGUGCAGUUUUGCUCCCGCGCGAUCACCGUUGGCCACGCGCCUCGGUCUCUAUCUGUAAAAGAGAUCCGCAUCUCUGGUAUUUGAUGCUGGAGAGAAAAAUGUGCGGCCUCCGCCCAACCUUGAGUUUCCUGCUCCACCGCGCCCUCUCGUGGUUAACUGGACUCACGGCUUUCUCGCCCCCAACCCCAACCACCUAAAUUGCGGUUCUCAACCUUGGCUGAGCGUGGGAAUCACCCGGGGACCUGCGAAACACCGAUGCCUGGGUACCGGACUCUAUCCGCGCCUCCCCCUGCGAGAGAUUCUGACUUAAUUGGCCUGAUGCAAUCCGGGCGUCCCCUGGGGAUCACAGUGUGCAGUCAAGGCUGGGAAACACUGACCCACCUCUGCUCUGCCAGGGAUCCUGCGUUUGGCUGACGACAUUUCUCUUGUCAGAGCCCACCGGACUCUGCUUUCCGGAUAUAAAGGAUCCUUUUGCAAGUCUAAACACCUCAAUGUCGGCAUCACACCCUCAAGCAUCCACCCUCUACUCCUGAAAUACUCAUGAUUAAUAUGUGCUUUUAAUUUCUAUUGCUGGAGAAAAUGUUUCUGAAAAAUUGCACUUACAUAAAUAGAUAAGGCAUAUUAUUUGUAUUAUCUGCUGACAACAUCCGUGAUGUGUGCAUGUGUGUGCUGCGUAUGCACAGAGCUUCCUCACUAUAAUUUCAGGAGCUUCUCAGGGCCUUAGGUCAGAGAUCCGCUAGCCGUGCCAGGGCACUCUGGCCCUAAUGUUAAAAAUAGACCAUGGCUUUAGCCACUCCUGUCAGUAUCUUGUCUCACUGCCCAGUGCUCCAUUCAUCAGGAGAAAUUCCUGAGCUGCUGCCCAGCCAGUCAGCCAGGCCCAACUGAAAUUCCCAGGGGGCCUGUGAGGGGGGUCACACGUACUCUUAGCUUCUAGGCUGGACCUCAGGACUCCUAGCAGAAGGAUAUCCACUGUGGCCCUGCGACCUUGUCAAUCGUUUGAUUCACAGCCUCUCAGUGACACUGGCACUCAAUGAGAUGGGCUCCUUUCAUGACACGGUCACCACCAUCAUCACAAUCUCCAGCAUUUUUGGGUUCCUACUAUGUGUACAGC